GCCUGCUCAGAUUUAUGGGGCAGUCGGGCGUCAGACUCUCGACCUGAAAGGGAUUUGGGCUUUCUUAGUGGUUAGGGAGGUGGUCAGGGGAGCAAUGGUGGACUCUCUCUAAGCACCUAAUACCCAGUACUGGGCCUCUAGUCUGGCACACCCACCUUAUCCUGGUCUCACACAACUCGGACACUCUGGACAUUACCGACAACGGCCCGGUCUGGCGCCGAUAGCCGCAGUGUGGAUGGCAGCAGCACCAAGGUUGGACUCCCCUUACCGACGCCCACACAGCCACAUACCACGCUCCGCUGUGCAGACACCCAGGCACAGGAAGAGCCAACGGAAAAUCUGACCAUGAAGUUUGCCAGGCUGUGGAUCGUCCAGCGCUGCAACCACAGAAAGUCAUUCUCCAUCCAUAUUAAAGCCCUCUCCAUCACUGGUGCCCCUGACAACACAGGAAAUGGAUCCCACCCGACGGCAGACUCAGCCUCCACACUGUUUAUCACCACAAUUAUCCCCCAUUCAUUCACAGGCUUAUAAGACUAGGGGACAUACUGGGAUCUGCUAACGCACUGGAGGAAAGAAUGGAGGGAAGAAAUGGAAGAAGAGCUCAAUAAACAAAUGAAUAUGUAUUCAUGGAGUUGAUGUACUGACAUCCUGUACAAUAUACAGUAUCUGUGACAGAGAAACUGAGUCUUCAUGUUGUAUCAACGUUUAAUCACCAUAAAACACUUCCAAGAGUCAGUAAAGUCAGUCAGUAAAGUCUAACACUGUAAUGAAGGCAUCCAUGUCAAAAAAUGUGUUCCUUUUAAUAACAAUGACCCAUAUGUAUUUAACUUCCAUUGUCCUUCAAGAAUGGCUGAAUAUUUUCUUGUGGUGUACCUGGGUACUGUGUGGUAGUGGCACACCGUACAUUAUCCUGCAUGAGUUAGUGAAAACAAAAGUCUGUUGUGAUUCCAACUCAUGCAUUGUGUUAUGGCAGAAACAUGGCAGAUUCAUUAUCACAACUGUUAAUAUGGUGUCAUAUCUGCCCUUCCGUUUAUUGACGACCCAAUAAACGGUAUCAUAAAUAACAGUAUGUUGUUGAUGU